UACGUAGGGCGCAAGCGUUGUCCGGAAUUAUUGGGCGUAAAGAGCUCGUAGGCGGUCUGUCGCGUCCGUUGUGAAAACUCGAGGCUCAACCUCGGGCUUGCAGUGGAUACGGGCAGACUAGAGUGCGGUAGGGGAGACUGGAAUUCCUGGUGUAGCGGUGGAAUGCGCAGAUAUCAGGAGGAACACCGAUGGCGAAGGCAGGUCUCUGAGCCGCAACUGACGCUGAGGAGCGAAAGCAUGGGGAGCGAACAGG
rnacentral:rRNA from 1 species